rnacentral:rRNA from 1 species
UACGUAGGGUGCGAGCGUUGUCCGGAAUUAUUGGGCGUAAAGAGCUCGUAGGCGGUCUGUCGCGUCGGUCGUGAAAACUUGGGGCUUAACCCCGAGCUUGCGGUCGAUACGGGCAUGACUGGAGUUCGGCAGGGGAGACUGGAAUUUACGGUGUAGCGGUGAAAUGCGUAGAUAUCGUAAGGAAGACCAGUGGCGAAGGCGGGUCUCUGGACAGUUCCUGACGCUGAGGCACGAAGGUCAGGGGAGCAAACGGG